rnacentral:rRNA from 1 species
GCAAGUCGAACGGAAAGGCCCUUCGGGGUACUCGAGUGGCGAACGGGUGAGUAACACGUGGGUGAUCUGCCCUGCACUUUGGGAUAAGCCUGGGAAACUGGGUCUAAUACCGAAUAUGACCAUGCACUUCCUGGUGUGUGGUGGAAAGCUUUUGCGGUGUGGGAUGGGCCCGCGGCCUAUCAGCUUGUUGGUGGGGUAAUGGCCUACCAAGGCGACGACGGGUAGCCGGCCUGAGAGGGUGACCGGCCACACUGGGACUGAGAUACGGCCCAGACUCCUACGGGAGGCAGCAGUGGGGAAUAUUGCACAAUGGGCGCAAGCCUGAUGCAGCGACGCCGCGUGAGGGAUGACGGCCUUCGGGUUGUAAACCUCUUUCAAUAGGGACGAAGCGCAAGUGACGGUACCUAUAGAAGAAGGACCGGCCAACUACGUGCCAGCAGCCGCGGUAAUACGUAGGGUCCGAGCGUUGUCCGGAAUUACUGGGCGUAAAGAGCUCGUAGGUGGUUUGUCGCGUUGUUCGUGAAAACUCACAGCUUAACUGUGGGCGUGCGGGCGAUACGGGCAGACUAGAGUACUGCAGGGGAGACUGGAAUUCCUGGUGUAGCGGUGGAAUGCGCAGAUAUCAGGAGGAACACCGGUGGCGAAGGCGGGUCUCUGGGCAGUAACUGACGCUGAGGAGCGAAAGCGUGGGGAGCGAACAGGAUUAGAUACCCUGGUAGUCCACGCCGUAAACGGUGGGUACUAGGUGUGGGUUUCCUUCCUUGGGAUCCGUGCCGUAGCUAACGCAUUAAGUACCCCGCCUGGGGAGUACGGCCGCAAGGCUAAAACUCAAAGAAAUUGACGGGGGCCCGCACAAGCGGCGGAGCAUGUGGAUUAAUUCGAUGCAACGCGAAGAACCUUACCUGGGUUUGACAUGCACAGGACGCCGGCAGAGAUGUCGGUUCCCUUGUGGCCUGUGUGCAGGUGGUGCAUGGCUGUCGUCAGCUCGUGUCGUGAGAUGUUGGG